rnacentral:rRNA from 1 species
GAUGAACGCUAGCGGCAGGCCUAACACAUGCAAGUCGAGGGAGAAGCCCUUCGGGGCAGAAACCGGCGCACGGGUGCGUAACGCGUAUGCAACCUACCUUUCACAGGGGGAUAGCCCGAAGAAAUUUGGAUUAAUACCCCAUAAUAUUAUUGGAUGGCAUCAUUUGAUAAUUAAAAUUACGGUGGUGAAAGAUGGGCAUGCGUCCUAUUAGCUAGUUGGAGUGGUAACGGCACCCCAAGGCUACGAUAGGUAGGGGUCCUGAGAGGGAGAUCCCCCACACUGGUACUGAGACAGGGACCAGACUCCUACGGGAGGCAGCAGUGAGGAAUAUUGGUCAAUGGUCGGAAGACUGAACCAGCCAUGCCGCGUGCAGGAAGAAUGCCUUAUGGGUUGUAAACUGCUUUUAUAUGGGAAGAAUAAAGGAGUACGCGUAC